UACGUAGGGUGCGAGCGUUGUCCGGAAUUACUGGGCGUAAAGAGCUCGUAGGUGGUUUGUCGCGUUGUCCGUGAAAACUCACAACUCAAUUGUGGGCGUGCGGGCGAUACGGGCAGACUGGAGUACUGCAGGGGAGACUGGAAUUCCUGGUGUAGCGGUGGAAUGCGCAGAUAUCAGGAGGAACACCAAUAGCGAAGGCGGCACUCUGGGCCGGUACUGACGCUGAGGAGCGAAAGCGUGGGGAGCAAACAGG
rnacentral:rRNA from 1 species